AGAGCGAACGCUGGCGGCAGGCUUAACACAUGCAAGUCGAGCGGCCGUAGCAAUACGGCAGCGGCAGACGGGUGAGUAACACGUGGGAACGUGCCUUUCGGUUCGGAAUAUCCCAGGGAAACCUGGGGCAAUACCGGAUACGCCCUUACGGGGAAAGAUUUAUCGCCGAAAGAUCGGCCCGCGUCUGAUUAGCUAGUUGGUGGGGUAACGGCCCACCAAGGCGACGAUCAGUAGCUGGUCUGAGAGGAUGAUCAGCCACACUGGGACUGAGACACGGCCCAGACUCCUACGGGAGGCAGCAGUGGGGAAUAUUGGACAAUGGGGGAAACCCUGAUCCAGCCAUGCCGCGUGAGUGAUGAAGGCCCUAAGGUUGUAAAGCUCUUUCGGCGGGGAAGAUAAUGACGGUACCCGCAGAAGAAGCCCCGGCUAACUUCGUGCCAGCAGCCGCGGUAAUACGUAGGGGGCUAGCGUUGUCCGGAAUCAUUGGGCGUAAAGCGCGCGUAGGCGGCCCGGUAAGCCCGCUGUGAAAGUCAAAGGCUCAACCUUUGAAUGUCAGCGGAUACUGCCGGGCUAGAGUCCGGAAGAGGCGAGUGGAACUCCUGGUGUAGCGGUGGAAUGCGCAGAUAUCAGGAAGAACACCAACGGCGAAGGCAGCUCGCUGGGACGGAACUGACGCUAAGGCGCGAAAGCGUGGGGAGCGAACAGGAUUAGAUACCCUGGUAGUCCACGCCGUAAACGA
rnacentral:rRNA from 1 species